GCGUUGUGGCGAAGCUGGCGGUUAACGCCCACCGGAUUGUUGGUCCGGCAUUUCGUGGGGUUCGAUUCCCAUCAGUCGCCCCA
rnacentral:tRNA from 1 species